CCUGCCCCUGGAGGCAUUGCAGGUGUGGCUGUUGUGUCAAAUGUGCAUCAACAGGUAUCCACUGUGAUGAGUUCAUGUCUGUGCUCAGUAUUCUGACCUAUGAACAUCCGAAUUUGUAGCCUAACAUU